rnacentral:rRNA from 1 species
GACGAACGCUGGCGGCGUGCUUAACACAUGCAAGUCGAACGGAAAGGCCCUGCUUUUGUGGGGUGCUCGAGUGGCGAACGGGUGAGUAACACGUGAGUAACCUGCCCUUGACUUUGGGAUAACUUCAGGAAACUGGGGCUAAUACCGGAUAGGAGCUCCUGCUGCAUGGUGGGGGUUGGAAAGUUUCGGCGGUUGGGGAUGGACUCGCGGCUUAUCAGCUUGUUGGUGGGGUAGUGGCUUACCAAGGCUUUGACGGGUAGCCGGCCUGAGAGGGUGACCGGCCACAUUGGGACUGAGAUACGGCCCAGACUCCUACGGGAGGCAGCAGUGGGGAAUAUUGCACAAUGGGAGGAAGCCUGAUGCAGCAACGCCGCGUGCGGGAUGACGGCCUUCGGGUUGUAAACCGCUUUCGCCUGUGACGAAGCGUGAGUGACGGUAAUGGGUAAAGAAGCGCCGGCUAACUACGUG